CAAAAAACCACCAAAACCAAAGAACAUUUCUCUAAUUAAGACAUGUAUCUGCCAUAUCUGCAUUUAAAUACGACCAAAGCCAAUGAUUUAACAUAACUAAAUUAAUGCUCAUUGUUAAAAAAGUUACCCAAGUAAUAUGUCUAUCCAACAUUCAUACAUGAGGUCAUUUGGCAAAAACAAAACAAACCAACCCCUCUUGCUUUCUAUAGUGAAAUUUAGACAAGGUUUUCCUAAAAGUCUGCCCAUCGGAUGCAUCAGUGAGCUCAGGAGGAUGUGGGAAAGACAUUCCAUUGAGUUCAUCUGAGCCGAUCUGACACGGUGACUGAGAAAACAGAGCUGGACUUGACUCAGGAGCUCCUCCCUGAUCUCACAAACCUGUUUUUAUGCUGCCAACUCUGGCACAUCAGGGCUCACCCUUGUGUCCAUUGUUCCACACCCAGCAACAUGGCAUGGAGCUCUGCUGAAGCCUUACCUGCGUGCACCAAGAGGUUUCCAGUGGGCAGGAGGUUUGAUGAGAGGGUUUCAAAAAAUCUGUGCAGAGACAUGACAUGGGAUGUUUGAGAAAAACCAGAGCCCAGGUCCAGCAGUGUUCAGGCAGUUAUGCUUGAAUCACCUCUGUGCCCAGCAAGAUCAUGGAGCAGAGCCUCUUGGAAACUAUGCUAAAGCACAUGGAAAAUAAGGAGGUGACUGGUGACAGCCAACAGAGCUUCGCUAAGGACAAAUUGUGCCUGAAAAUCUGGUAAUCUUCUGCAAAGGGGUGAGAGCGGUGGGAAGGGAUCCCAUGUGGAGGAGGCUUGAGAAGUGGUCCCAUGAAAACUUCAUGAAGGUCCUGCACCUGAGUUGGGACAACCCCUGGCCUAAAUACACCCUGGAUGGGGAAUGGACUGAGAGCAGCCCUGAGGAGAAGGGCUUGGGGGUGUUGGUUGACAAGAAGAGCAACACGACCCAGCCAUGUGCGCCUGCAGCCCCAAAGGCCAACCGCAUCCCGCUCCGACAAAAGCAGCACGGCUGGCAGGCCAAGGGAGGGCAUUCUGCCCCUCUGCUCUGCCCCGGUGAGACCCCAUCUGCAGUCCUGCAUACAGCUCUGGGGUCUCCAUCAUACUAAGAAUGAUGUAAAGCUGCUGGAGCAGGUCCAGAGGAGGGCCAUGAAUAUGAUUAGAGGGCUGGAGCACCUCUUCUGUGAGAAGAGGCUGUAGGAGUUGAGGCUGUUCAGCCUGGAGAAGAGGAAGCUCCAGGCAGACCUCUAGUGCCUAGGAGAAAGCUGGAGAGAGACUUCUGACAAGGGCAAGAAGUGACAGAACAAGGGGAAAUGGCUUUAAGCUGAAAUAAUAUAGAUUUACAGUAAGUAUUAGGAAGAAAUUCUUCACUGUGAGGGUGGUGAGGCUCUGGGGUUGGAACUAGAUGGUCUUGAAGGUCCCUUCCAACUCAACCCAUUCUAUGAUUCUAUGACUUAAUUUAGCUACCACUCUUAAUAACACAGCAGAUAAAAUUAAUAUAGUAUGUAAGCAAUUAACAUAAUAAAAUAAGUACGAAUUUGUUCCUCAAAUAAUGUAUUCAAAAUCAAUAUCUGUUCCCAAAGUGAAUACAUUUGAAUUGAAACUGUUAUUUUGAUAUAGUUUUCAUAUAUAUACGUGUUUAGUCAUUCAAUAUAUUCUGUCAAUACACAGAUCUUAUUGUAAAUUAUUAGUUAACAACUAUAUUUAAUAAUUACCAAUUAAAACAAACUAUUCAGAAGCAUUAGAGAUAUAAAAUCUAUUUAUGUCAUUUACAAAAAUCUAUGAAGUAAAUUGUAUUUUCAGAUGCACCCAUUAAUUUAAAGCUUUGUCUCUAAUUAUGAUUUAAUGUUCAUAUCAAGAGAACACUGUCUAAUAGUCCACCAGUUAAAAAAAAAAAAUUCCAUAACUGGGAAGCUCAGUGAAUGGUCUUUCUAAAUAAACACAAGUCUGUACUUGUCACCAAUUUUAAUGCUGGUAAUUAUCACUAAUUGAUGACUUUUAGGAAUUAUAUUUUUGUUUGUAUUUUGUUUGGGUUUUUGUAUUUGUUAUUAUGGGUUUGUAUAUUUGUUUGGGGCUUUUUUCCCCGUUGCUUCUAUUCCAAGAAACUGAAAGGCAAAUUCACCAAUGUUUCCAAAGAGCCAUGUAAUGCCAUAAAAAGAAGCAAUCACAAUGGCAUCUCAGCUGGCAUUGCUGGGAAAAUGAAAGGAAUGAUCAUCUAUUAAACACUUCAGGACUGGGUACCUGGAAGCUGAGCACUUCACCCACAAUCUCAGGAAUACUUCAAAUGCCUUAUCUAUUGAGUUUGUGGACCAACUCUUCAAUACAACUGGACUAACAAAGACCACCAUAUGAAGCUAAUGAUAUUGAAGUAAUUUCCAGCCACCGAGUUUGCUCAGCUUGUUUCUGUUUCAUUUUUUUUCCUCCAAGUUGUCUCUACACCAGUUCUCCUGAUCUGCUUUCAGAGCUCAGUACUCUACAUAUUCACCUGCCUGAUGCUGCCUUCAACAGGACUGUGGAGUAGGACUGUGCAUUAUGGCUUAGCAUACAUUUAUAUAUUAUUUAUUUAUGCAUGUAAAUUAUUGUAAAUCCUUAGGACACUGGGCUGCAAAAUUUUAAGUUUUAAACAUCACGGCUUAUGCUAAUUAUUUAUUGUAGGCAGAAGGUACCAUUUGCAUAGAAACUUAUGCUUGACAUUUUUAACGACUGCUCACCAAGAUGACACUACUUGAUAGGAAACAGCAAAAAAAAUCCCUAUUAAGAUACAGAAAAUAGAAGCUAAAAUGUAAUCCAUUUUGACUCAUCUCAACAUCAGAUUGUACAGCAUUAAAAAGAAAAUCCUUAAUAAAGAUCAUUUUCAUUAUGUAUAUCUACAAUAAAAGUGGUUUUCCCCA